GGAGUACUCCCUCCGUUUCAUAAUUCUUGUUGAAAUAUUAAAUAUGUAUCUAGACACUUUUUAGGAAUAGAUAUAUUCAUUUUUGGGCAAAUUUGAGACAAGAAUUAUGAAACAGAUGGAGUAUUUA
rnacentral:pre_miRNA from 1 species